CCUACGGGUGGCAGCAGUGAGGAAUAUUGGUCAAUGGACGCAAGUCUGAACCAGCAAUGCCGCGUGCAGGAAGACGGCUCUCUGAGUUGUAACCUGCUUUUGUACGGGGGUAAACGCAGAUAUGCGUAUCUGUCUGAAUGUAUCGUACGAAUAAGGCUCGGCUAACUCCGUGCCAGCAGCCGCGGUAAUACGGAGGAUCCAAGCGUUAUCCGGAUUUAUUGGGUUUAAAGGGUGCGUAGGCGGUCGGAUAAGUUAGAGGUGAAAUCCUGAGGCUCAACUUCGGAAUUGCCUCUGAUCCUGUUCGGCUAGAGAGUAGUUGCGGUAGGCGGAAUGUAUGGUGUAGCGGUGAAAUGCUUAGAGAUCA
rnacentral:rRNA from 1 species